AACACCGCGCAAUUCAGAGAUAGCACUUCCCAGCUUGAAACGAGGCAACCUUUCACUUCCAGCCUACACUCUUUUACUCCACUCAGUAUCCCCUAGCAAAUUUGGAACAGAAAGCAUCCAAGAGGGGCCAUCUACACAACUUCAAGAACGAGAGAGAAAAAAAGGGAAAAAAAGAAAAAAACGCUCCGUCGCCAUAGAAGACAACCGCCGGCGGACUUUAAUGUACGGCCUCAGCCACCUCAUCUCAUUUGCAUCAGGUCGAGGGGUGGUUGGAACCCAGAGCAACAUACGUUUCAAGCGCUCCUCAAUUUUUGUCGGCUUAGGAAAUUCAACAACUAGCACUUCGCCUCGCCAGGCACAC
rnacentral:sRNA from 1 species